CGCAUCGCCUUUCCUUUCAGAUUAUUGUCCUCUUUUAAUUUUAUAAUUGAUGAUUUUCCUCUGAAACCAAAAUCAAGGUGAUUCCACGCAGUCUGCGUAAGGUAGAUUUUGCUAUAUUGCCCGCUAUUUGGACCGAGACGGAACAUACUUAAUGCGUAUACCACUCUAUGUGUAAAACAUUACUGAAAACACAUUAUUCUCUUGUUUUGAAUAAUUUUCAGAUACCUAUAUAUUAACAAUUUCAUCUGGAUAAAAUAAAAUAUGAACAAAUAUUAUUAGGUGUCUGGAUAAAUCUUUCUGCUAUUGACGGUCCGUCAUCACGACGGUUAGGCUAAUAUAUUAUCCUGGUGUCGGGGUUUCUCGCCGGAAGUUCGUUACUGCGGCAUAGGUAAUAACAAUUAUAAUAAUAACUAUCGAUUGUAGAGGCAACGAGAGAGGUGACCACAGUACCGUAAGUAUUUAUAAUUAAAGAAACAAACAAAAACACACAGCCAACGGUUGUCCGACCAGUAAACGCACACGUGGCAGCGCAAAAUUACCAUCGACCGCCGUUAUUACCGGACCGGAAAAUCGUUUUACGCGAAACAAAGAGAGGUGGGUCCAAACCAUUACCAACGACGACGGCGGCGGUGGAGAUAAAUUUAAUUUCAAGUGCCGGCCGCAGCACGGAGAGGCGAUUUUGCAAUUAACUUUAAUAGCGAAACGCCAGAUCCUUACGUCUAUUUUCGUCUCGGUUAUUUUUGUCUUCCUACAGUACGCGACAAUGAUACUAGGAGAUUCUAUAUUAUAUUUGAUCACGAAUCACCGAAAAUUGUAGUCUAUCGUGAAGAUUUCCAGUAUAGAUUUGAUAAAUGUUUGUUUCGAUCAUAAUAAAUGAUUAAAGUAGGAAAAACAUCGAAAAUGGACUAAAUCCACCGAAAAUUGAGAGGCGUUCCUGAAAACUAUAAUUAAAUUUAACC